CCGGUAAACGGCGGCCGUAACUAUAACGGUCCUAAGGUAGCGAAAUUCCUUGUCGGGUAAGUUCCGACCUGCACGAAUGGCGUAAUGAUGGCCAGGCUGUCUCCACCCGAGACUCAGUGAAAUUGAACUCGCUGUGAAGAUGCAGUGUACCCGCGGCAAGACGGAAAGACCCCGUGAACCUUUACUAUAGCUUGACACUGAACAUUGAGCCUUGAUGUGUAGGAUAGGUGGGAGGCUUUGAAGUGUGGACGCCAGUCUGCAUGGAGCCGACCUUGAAAUACCACCCUUUAAUGUUUGAUGUUCUAACGUGGACCCGUUACCCGGGUUGCGGACAGUGUCUGGUGGGUAGUUUGACUGGGGCGGUCUCCUCCUAAAGAGUAACGGAGGAGCACGAAGGUUGGCUAAUCCUGGUCGGACAUCAGGAGGUUAGUGCAAUGGCAUAAGCCAGCUUGACUGCGAGCGUGACGGCGCGAGCAGGUGCGAAAGCAGGUCAUAGUGAUCCGGUGGUUCUGAAUGGAAGGGCCAUCGCUCAACGGAUAAAAGGUACUCCGGGGAUAACAGGCUGAUACCGCCCAAGAGUUCAUAUCGACGGCGGUGUUUGGCACCUCGAUGUCGGCUCAUCACAUCCUGGGGCUGAAGUAGGUCCCAAGGGUAUGGCUGUUCGCCAUUUAAAGUGGUACGCGAGCUGGGUUUAGAACGUCGUGAGACAGUUCGGUCCCUAUCUGCCGUGGGCGCUGGAGAACUGAGGGGGGCUGCUCCUAGUACGAGAGGACCGGAGUGGACGCAUCACUGGUGUUCGGGUUGUCAUGCCAAUGGCACUGCCCGGUAGCUAAAUGCGGAAGAGAUAAGUGCUGAAAGCAUCUAAGCACGAAACUUGCCCCGA
rnacentral:rRNA from 1 species